UACAGAGGUCUCAAGCGUUGUUCGGAUUCAUUGGGCGUAAAGGGUGCGUAGUGGCGUCGUAAGUCAGGUGUGAAAUCUCGGGCUUAACUCCGAAACUGCAUUUGAUACUGCGGUGCUUGAGGACUGGAGAGGAGACUGGAAUUUACGGUGUAGCAGUGAAUGCGUAGAGAUCGUAAGGAAGACCAGUGGCGAAGGCGGUCUCUGGACAGUUCCUGACA
rnacentral:rRNA from 1 species